UACGUAGGCAGCAAGCGUUGUUCGGAGUUACUGGGCGUAAAGGGUGUGUAGGCGGUUGUUUUAAGUUUGGUGUGAAAUCUCCCGGCUCAACUGGGAGGGUGCGCCGAAUACUGAAUGACUUCGAGUGCGGGAGAGGAUAGUGGGAAUUCCUGGUGUAGCGGUGAAAUGCAUAGAUAUCAGGAGGAACACCGGUGGUGUAGACGGCUAUCUGGACCGUAACUGACGCUGAGACACGAAAGCGUGGGUAGCAAACAGG
rnacentral:rRNA from 1 species